AUACUCUCUUCAGCAGCACAUAUACUAAAAUUGGAAAGAUACAGAGAAGAUUAGCAUGGCCCCUGUGCAAGGAUGACAUGCAAAUUUGUGAAGCAUUCCAUAUUUUA
ensembl:snRNA U6 U6 spliceosomal RNA